rnacentral:rRNA from 1 species
AACCUGGUUGAUCCUGCCAGUAGUCAUAUGCUUGUCUCAAAGACUAAGCCAUGCAUGUCUAAGUAUAAGUAUUAUACAGCGAAACUGCGAAUGGCUCAUUAAAACAGUUAUAGUUUACAUGAUAAUCGAAUUUACAUGGAUAACCGUGGUAAUUCUAGAGCUAAUACAUGCUGGCGUGCCCGACUUUUGCGGAAGGGCGGUAUUUAUUAGAUAACAAGCCAAUAUUCCUUCGGGUCUAUUGUGGUGAUUCAUAAUAACUGAUCGAAUCGCAAGGCCCUUGGCCGCGAUAAGUCAUUCAAGUUUCUGCCCCAUCAGCUUUCGAUGGUAGUGUAUUGGACUACCAUGGCGUUCACGGGUAACGGAGAAUUAGGGUUCGAUUCCGGAGAGGGAGCCUGAGAAACGGCUACCACAUCUAAGGAAGGCAGCAGGCGCGUAAAUUACCCAAUCCCGACUCGGGGAGGUAGUGACAAGAAAUAACGGACCGGGGCCUUCGGGUUCCGGGAUUGCAAUGAGCCGAAUUUACACCCCUUAGCGAGGAUCGAUUGGAGGGCAAGUCUGGUGCCAGCAGCCGCGGUAAUUCCAGCUCCAAUAGCGUAUAUUAAAGUUGUUGCAGUUAAAAAGCUCGUAGUUGGAUUUCUGGGGGGGAGUUCUUCGAUCGCCAUUGGCGAUUAGAGGCUCCCCUCCCAUCCUUCUGUUAACGUUACUCGGCAUUCAUUUGCUGGUGGCGGGCUCAGAUAUUUUUACCUUGAGAAAAUUAGAGUG